AGUGAACGCUGGCGGUAGGCCUAACACAUGCAAGUCGAACGGCAGCACAGUAAGAGCUUGCUCUUACGGGUGGCGAGUGGCGGACGGGUGAGGAAUACAUCGGAAUCUACUUUUUCGUGGGGGAUAACGUAGGGAAACUUACGCUAAUACCGCAUACGACCUACGGGUGAAAGCAGUGGAUCUUCGGACCUUGCGCGAUUGAAUGAGCCGAUGUCGGAUUAGCUAGUUGGCGGGGUAAAGGCCCACCAAGGCAACGAUCCGUAGCUGGUCUGAGAGGAUGAUCAGCCACACUGGAACUGAGACACGGUCCAGACUCCUACGGGAGGCAGCAGUGGGGAAUAUUCGGCAAUGGGCGCAAGCCUGACGCAGCAACGCCGCGUGAGUGAAGAAGGUCUUCGGGUUGUAAAGCCCUGUUAUUAGGGAAGAACAACUGUGUGUGAAUCCACGGACGUUCUGACGGUACCCAAACAAUAAGCACCGGCUAACUUCGUG
rnacentral:rRNA from 1 species